GGGUAGAGGUGAUAUGACAAUCGAACACGGAGAUAGCUGGUUCUCCCCGAAAUAGCUUUAGGGCUAGCGUCAUGCGUUUAGAACUGGAGGUACAGCACUGAAUGGGCUAUGGGGCUUACAGCUUACAGAACCCAAUCAAAACUCGGAAUGCCAGUUCUCCAUAGCAUGGCAGUCGGACUCCGGGAGAUGAGUUUCGGGGUCGAAAGGGAAACAGCCCAGAUCAUCGGCUAAGGUCCUAAAAUCUAUGCUAAGUGGGAAACGAGGUGAGGUUACUUAAACAACCAGGAGGUUGGCUUAGAAGCAGCCACCCUUUAAAAAGUGCGUAACAGCUUACUGGUCUAGUGACUUCGCGCGGAAAACGUAACGGGGCUAAGCAUAGUACCGAAGCCAUGAGUCUCAACGCAAGUUGGGGCAGUAGGGGAGCGUUCUGUCAGCGGUGAAGGUCGAUCGUAAGGGCGACUGGAGCGGACAGAAGUGAGAAUGCAGGCAUGAGUAGCGUACAAACACGUGAGAACCGUGUUCGCCGUAAG
rnacentral:rRNA from 1 species